rnacentral:rRNA from 1 species
UCAGGUAGGAAUACCCGCUGAACUUAAGCAUAUCAU